AUAAUACACAGGCAUCUCAUGAAAAUCAUCCAACAUAUAGAAGAAUAUAUAGAAUAAAGCAAAAAUCAUCAGAAACUCCACCGUCUUGGAUGACCAUAGUUGAUAUUCUGAAUGGCUUCUGUUCCGAUUGAACCUUGACUGAUGUAGCACCUAUCACCAAAUUGCUGUUCAGGAAAUAUGUCCUAAAGAAACUCCCAACAGCAGCAAUACAUCAGAGUGGCACCUCUUUACACUGGUUCUUGGUAGGUACUGUCAAUAUUUUUCAACUUUGGCAAAGUAAUA
rnacentral:lncRNA from 1 species